AUUGAACGCUGGCGGCAUGCCUUACACAUGCAAGUCGAACGGUAACGGGCCUUCGGGUGCCGACGAGUGGCGAACGGGUGCGUAAUACAUCGGAACGUGCCCGAUCGUGGGGGAUAACGAGGCGAAAGCUUUGCUAAUACCUCAUACGAUCUACGGAUGAAAGCAGGGGACCGCAAGGCCUUGCGCGGGCGGAGCGGCCGAUGGCAGAUUAGGUAGUUGGUGGGAUAAAAGCUUACCAAGCCGACGAUCUGUAGCUGGUCUGAGAGGAUGAUCAGCCACACUGGGACUGAGACACGGCCCAGACUCCUACGGGAGGCAGCAGUGGGGAAUUUUGGACAAUGGGCGCAAGCCUGAUCCAGCCAUGCCGCGUGCAGGAUGAAGGCCUUCGGGUUGUAAACUGCUUUUGUACGGAACGAAAAGCCUUCUUUUAAUACAGGAGGGUCAUGACGGUACCGUAAGAAUAAGCACCGGCUAACUACGUG
rnacentral:rRNA from 1 species